rnacentral:tRNA from 1 species
GUGGUUGUGGCUCAGCGGUAGAGCGCUUGCCUAGCACAUGCAAGGCCCUGGGUUCGAUCCUUAGCACCACA